CCUGCCCCUUGAGGCGUUGCAGCUCAACUGCUGGUGUUGCAGCUGUGUCAGAAGGUGGCAGAGAGAGACCGGUGGUGGUCUGCACGGAGACUCUGGAACAUGUUGGAUACUCUGUGUGAUUUUUACCACCAACAAA